GGGGCAUUGAGGUCAUGCCGGGGCAAGCUCUUAUCUGGAGAUUUUCAUCUGUAGAUCUCAAAGUGCUUCACACCAGAGCGGAUCUCUGAGGGGAAAACGGCGCGGCCUGGGUGCGCCAAAGUAAGCUCGUGGCUGGGGGACUAGUUUCACAUCUUCAGAAGUGACAAACAGUAGAGGAACAGUCUGAAUGUCUGAGCCAGUUAUCUCGUGACUUGCCCUUGGUGAAUCCAUGCUGACUGUUCCUGAUCACUUUCCUCUCCUCUAAGUGCUUCAGAAUUGAUUCCUUGAGGACCUGCUCCACCAUUUUUCCGGGGACUGAGGUGAGGCUGACUGGCCUGUAGUUCCCAGGAUCCUCCUUCUUCCCUUUUUUAAAGAUGGGCACUACAUUAGCCUUUUUCCAGUCGUCCGGGACUUCUGUCAGAAUGUUCUGGUUUAGUAACAUUGAAUUGUGUUGUUCCGUUUCAGAAUGUUUUAUUUUAUAUGUAACUUAGAGCUUAAUAUGUAAGUAUAAUCAUAUAGCAUCAUAGCGAAUGUCCUUUAUAAUAGAAUAGACUGGAAAAUAAAUUGGGAAAGAAAAAGUAUUUUUGGAAGGAAAAAGGAAAUGACACAAAAUUUAAUCCAAAUUGACACAA